UACGGAGGGUGCAAGCGUUAUCCGGAUUCACUGGGUUUAAAGGGUGCGUAGGCGGGUAAGUAAGUCCGUGGUGAAAUCUCUGAGCUUAACUCAGAAACUGCCGUGGAUACUAUUUGCCUUGAAUAUUGUGGAGGUGAGCGGAAUAUGUCAUGUAGCGGUGAAAUGCUUAGAUAUGACAUAGAACACCAAUUGCGAAGGCAGCUCACUACACAAUGAUUGACGCUGAGGCACGAAAGCGUGGGGAUCAAACAGG
rnacentral:rRNA from 1 species